rnacentral:lncRNA from 1 species
ACCUGGCACAGCUCCAUGACUCGCUGGCGACAGGCUCGCCUUGCCUCGACUCCUCCCUGUCCUUCCUUCCUCUUUGAAAGGCACGUCGGAGUCCAGUCCUCCUCAAAGUGUGGCCCAAUCUGCAUCCCCUGGGCGGGCACUGUCAGAGCCAGACUCUAGGCCCAGCCCUGUGCUCAGGCAAGUCCCAGAGGGAUGUGCAGCUGAGAGGCCGACAGACACAUCUCUUAGGGGUUUUGAGAGCCCAUGGCCGUCCCUCGCGGAGAACAAGCCUUCAACCCAGGCAGGAAGCCCGUCUGAGACUCUGCGUGCUGGGUCCAAAUGCCUGUGCUAUGGCGUCUCAUCACAGACACUAGUGCACCUGCUGGUGGUGCAGGUGCCGUGGCCAGCCUGGAAGGAGCCGCCCUGGGAACAAGAUACUUCUGAGGAUGCCUGGAGGCCUCUUUCUUCCUGGCCCCUGGCUGGCCUCCCCCUUAGAUGACGGUGCCAGAGGAGGGGAAGUGCAGUGCAAUGGACACAGAUGGUGGUCCAGAAUUCCAUAUCAGGAAACAAAAAGGAGAUGCACACCUGUGGCAAAGGCCCCUGCCCCACCCCUGUCCAGACAGACAGCCAUCAGCGUGGGANNNNNNNNNNACAGACAGCCAUCAGCGUGGGACAGAGACCCGGAGAGGCCCCUGCCCAGACAGCCAGCCAUCAGCGUGGGACAGAGACCCGGGAGGGGCUCCCUUGCCACCUACGUCCACACUUUGUGAGCCUGCAGUGCUGGGCAGGGUGCUGUGGACAGGGUCUGACCCCAGAACCCCUGGCAAGGAAACGCAGCGGCAGCAUCUCCCCACAAAGCCUGUGAUGGGCACUGGUGUUGAAGGGUGUGUGGGCCUUGCAAAGGGGCCCCAGCCAGCCCCCCUUGGCGCCGGGGCAGAGCUCUCUGCAAGGUGGGACUUUCUCGUGGCCUCCCAGGGCCACGUUUGGUUUUGAUGCCGUUUUGGGACGGCCGUGUGCCUCACAAUUGUGCUCUGGGCCAGGUUUGUCUUCCUGACCCUUCACAGCAGCCACCGCACUUUAAUCCUGUCCAUCAUGGCAACAUCAAGGCAUGUUCGUCAGGGGGACCUGUGAGCCAGCAGGGCCAAGCAGCUUCCCAGCUGGAGUGCACAGUAGACUGCCAAGCAGACGUCCCCCUAACCCAGAGUGGCCUCUGGAGCCGGCGCUGUCUCGGCAAAACAUGGCCCGCCGAGUUAUGUUCAUGUUGGUUUUUCAUUACAUUUGUUUUAUUUGCGGCUAUUUGGCUUUUUGGCGGAAUACAAGUCAGCAAGAGCUUGUGCCCAGUUUUAUAGCUGUUUGCACAGCGUAAGUGGCCAUUAAAUCAAAACCC